rnacentral:rRNA from 1 species
UUGCACGCUGGCGGCAUGCCUUACACAUGCAAGUCGCACGGUAACAGGUCUUCGGAUGCUGACGAGUGGCGAACGGGUGAGUAAUACAUCGGAACGUGCCCAGACGUGGGGGAUAACGAGGCGAAAGCUUUGCUAAUACCGCAUACGAUCUAAGGAUGAAAGCAGGGGACCGCAAGGCCUUGCGCGUUUGGAGCGGCCGAUGGCAGAUUAGGUAGUUGGUGGGAUAAAAGCUUACCAAGCCGACGAUCUGUAGCUGGUCUGAGAGGACGACCAGCCACACUGGGACUGAGACACGGCCCAGACUCCUACGGGAGGCAGCAGUGGGGAAUUUUGGACAAUGGGCGAAAGCCUGAUCCAGCAAUGCCGCGUGCAGGAUGAAGGCCUUCGGGUUGUAAACUGCUUUUGUACGGAACGAAAAGGCUCUGGCUAAUACCUGGGGCACAUGACGGUACCGUAAGAAUAAGCACCGGCUAACUACGUG